UAUCAUAUUUUUCACACCAGAGAUGUCAAAAAUCUUAUUUCAGAUAGAAAAUAUCUAUUAUAAGCUUUGAACACAGUAUUAAACAACAUUGUAUACCAAGGCAAUCUUGAGAAAAGAACAGAAUUUAAGACAUACUAUGGAGUCACAGUGAUCAAAACAAUGUGAUAAUGCCAUGAGGCCAUGUUUGUGGAUCACAAGUGUAGAUCAUACAGCCAGUCACUAAAUGCUUCAUACAUGGUCAAAUGACUUUUCACAAGGAAAUCAUUACUAUUAGUCCAGCAAAGUAAAGUAACUCAACUUGUAAUUCCAGGGAAAAUAGAUAAUCAUUGGUUAAAGAAAAGACUUGGACCUGUUAACAUAUUAAAUUUAGUUUAAGCAAAUCAGAAUUUAGGUAUAAGAUAACGCAACACUUAGAAGUUGGGGAAUCAUCUUGCAUAUAUAGGAUUUGAUGACUAUUACUUGACUAGGACAUCAAAAGAAGACAUAAAUAUCUGAAGAAAGUGUGUGAAAGGCCUCAAAUAACAGAACACAAAACUUGAACAGAUGUCUUCCAAAGCUGCAAAUCAGUAUCCAAAAGAAAAUGUCAUCGUUCAUUUUAGUUACCACACAGGAGGAUAGCAUUUUGGAAUCAACAGGAUCAAUAACUCACACAUGCACGAACACACACACACACACACACACACACACACACACACACACACGCAUAUUGGUGGAAUGAGAAUGAAUGAUAUGUUUUGAGCACUGUUGGUAGGAAUCCAGAAUUUGAUAUUAAUAUAUACUGUUGGGCAGAGUAUAGUGGUUCUUCAAAAGCUAACAGCAUCUCCUCACAAUACACCAACACUGAAGUUAAGAUUCCACAGUGAUUAAAAAGGACAUAUGAGCUGAUAUUAAUAUCCCAUUUACAGCAGCCUUUUCUACAAAAAAAUAGGCUAUAACCAAAGCAUCUUUCAGCAAAGACAUGGUACAGCUAAACAUAGUGCUUGUGUGGGCAAGUGUCACUCAGCACAGUGAAGGAGUUAGAAUUGCACACAGUGUAACAUCAUUGGCAGCAUCCCAACUAAAGUGAGUUAGACAGAAAAGAAAAUAGAUGAUGUGCUUCCACUUACGAUCAAAUAAGUGAUUCUACCAUAAAAAUACAGUAUCUGUGAGCAAGGAGAAGGCAUGGAAUGGGAGCCUUCAUUAUUUAGUGUUUUGGGAAAAGAGAAAAACUUUCAGAAUGAGUGCUUUUUUUUUGAACAUUGUGACUAUAUGUCAUGUUAUUGAAUUUAAAACAUUUUUUAAAAGAAAUAUGCACAUAUUUGGACACAACAAAUUACAUUAACUGGAAAGUAAGAAUAUUUAAUAAUAUGUGUCAUUUAUAAUGUGUUAUUUAGUGACUAAGGAGUAACUAAACAUGUUAAAAUCAUCCCCACUAUAAAACAGAGACAAAUGUUGAUGACUUCCUAAAGUUUAUGCUGUAAGAAGAUGUGGGAUGGAGGUGGGAGGCAUUGUAUAUUUGAAUCCAUAAACUUCAUCCAUUGAAGGAAAUUUUGAUGGGAUAUGUCAGCUCUUCAAUAUGGCUAAGUUAUUGGUUAUUGAGAAAGUGUAAUGGUAAUGUUAUCAUACCUUAGUCUAGUUAGAACAUCCUUUGAUAACCUAUAGUGUUUUCCUAUAUGCUAUGAAAACUCACUCUGAGUUUAGACUUUAAUUCAAUAUCUAAAGUAGAGAUGAUCAAACUUCUAUGUUAUUGGUUCUACUUUUUUCUGUAGCAAGGUCUUUCUUAAAUGUAUUGUGAUCUCCACAGAUUCAGUACAAGUUUGCCUCAGGAGAUAAGAGAAUCACAUCUCCAUAUUCCCAUUAAUUACUUUUAGGACCUUUCAAAUGACCUUCUUACAAGGGAUACCCACACUAAUUUUUAAAUGAAUUAAAGCCCACAUUUAUAUGUCUUAAAAUCUGUCUGUAGUGAUCAAUUUUAACUAUGAACUUGAUGAAGAGGAAGCCUGAGAAAAUAGUCAAGUCUGGGUACAGGAAGGCUCAGUUCUACACAAUGAUGUAGAUGAAAUGAUGAAAGUAUGAUUUAAUGGAGGUGCAACUUUAUUAAAAUAGACUCCUAGAGGCUGGUUCUUACCUUAGACCUUUCUGUUGUUGAUGCUUGACCUCUGUCUACCAGAGUGUAUAUUGCUAUGCCCUGAGGUACCCUUCCCAAAGCAGCCCUGUUCCUCUGUGCCUUUCUCCAUUACCCUUUCUCCCUUUGUGCUUUUUCCCCUGAUGCUCUUUCCAACUGGGUCUGUUAGGAUGAUGCUCUGUGUCAUGGUGACUUUCACUUUUGGCAUUCUGCUCUCAUUUUGGCCUCCCACUGAAUUCCCUGCUCCUAAGUCACUUUGCCUAUAAGGCGCUGCUACACUACACAAAUAUGGACACUGUUGUAGAACACCGAGUCAUCUGAAACAAAAUAAAAUCUUGAUCCCUUGAGUUCGUCUGUAAGGAAUUUUUGAAAGCUGCAAAUGUUCUCAGUAACACACACCUCCAUCCAAGCUUCUGGCCACAUUCCUGGCAGUAUCUAUCUCCGAGGCUGCAUUUCCCAGAAUCAUUAGCAACGUUUCAAAGCAAUGUUGUCUCAGUAGAGGCUAUUUCCUCAAUGUACAAUAGGAAAUGUGACUUCUUUCCUCUUUGUGAGAACAGUCAGAUGCCAUUUCUGCAGUGCAGAUGACUCGUGCAUCCUGUGCCAUUUGAUAUUUCUCUCUGUUCUCUAGUUGGGUGGCUCAGAUUCUUAAUUAAACGAUUUAUCUCCACAGCAGCAUUUAUAACACAAAUAUUUGCAUGUGUAGAAUGAAGGAGAGCAGGGCAAGAGGUACAUGCAAUCUGCUUCAAACCGGAUAUGGAAACAGUCCACUAAUCUUUUUUUGAAGCUUGGUGGAGUUUCAUAUUCCCCUUUAAAUGUGGAUUAAACAAAGUUGUCCAGAAAGCAUAUGCUUUUAUAUAAAACAUUCCAAUUAUAAGGAGGAUGAAAACAAUUUGAAAAAUGUGUACUGACUCCAUCGGAAGAAGAGCUGGCAUGCUCUGGCUUCUGCGGGCAACCCUUAUAUGUGGGUAGAUGAAGACAUCAUAGGAAGUGAUGGACUGGGUUUGAUGCUGAAAGUGUCAUACAGGAUUAAAGAUAAAGCCUGCAAUGAAAGUACAGUUUGUUAAAAAACUGGUGAAUUGGGACAACAUGGGAAAUUUCUAGGUUUUGAGGCUUGUGAUCAGUCAUGGUGCAGCUGACUCCGAGUUUAUUGAAGAGUCUCUCCAGCAAAUGCUUACUUGUAGUCAGAUGGGUCAGCAGCUGACAUAUUAUACCCCCGGUUUUUAAGCUUAAGCCUCCAAAUCUCUGCAUUUAAAUUGAAUUGUUCUAUGUCACAGAGCCCUCUGAGUUCAUAAGGUAGAGGAGGGAGGACAAAGACUUCUGCAUCCUGUCAUGGAUGCUGCAGGAACUUGCCUUCUCCACAGGGUACAUUCUAAAUUGCCACUAACCCUGAGGGUGUCUCUUAAAGGUCUUGGGUUUGGAGUGAUAUUAUAGUUUAGCAAAUGCUGAGGGAGUAAUUGUUUUACUCAUAUAGCAGAAACAUAAUGGUGUAAUUCUUUCUAAACUGCUGCCUUGGGGUAUGUGAGACACUCAUUUCAUCAUCCUGAAACUCAGUUGAUUUGUUUAUCAAUAAUAUGCCUACCCUAGGUUUUUCUCAAAUGUGUUUGUAUGGAAAAAUAAAAUAUGCAUGGAUAUAUGAAAAUAAUCUGAUAAAUUAUGUAUUGUCCUUUGCAGUGGACAGUGAUAAAAGAAGUAUCUACAAACGACCUUGCAGAAUCUUAGCUCAACAAUCCUUUGAAUAAAGCGAUCAUCUUCUCAUUUACUGAGAGGAAAUAAAGACUGAGAAUCACAACAGCUUGUCCUGGAUUACUGCAUUAGUUCAUGGUGCAAAAGGAAAUAGAGCUCACUUGUUUGUAUUUGCGAUCCUUCUGUGUGGUCAUCUGCCAUUAAUAAUGGAGUGACACUUUUCUCAGCAGUCCUCAUUUCUAAUAUACUGAAUAUCAAAACCCUUUUCUUGAUAUAUCAUUCUGUCAAAUAGAUUGGUGGACAAAGAGUAAAACUGGAUGAUGUGCAAGUCAGAAAAUAUUCUAUUAGAAUCUAUAUUUCUCCUUUGCUCUGUGAUACAAUGUAGUUGCAUUAAAUGAGUCAUUAAUCCAGAAGGAAUUAGAGCCUAGAAUUCUGUUAACACUCUGAAAUUGAGUGAUACAUCCAAACUCUGCUAAGAUUGUUCAAGUGAUUUACAAAUCAUACACGUAUGUGCAAGCUAGAAAGGUCUACCCCAAGGUCUGUAAAGAGUAAAUGGCUACCUGUAGAUGUUCAGAAGUGUUCUUUAUGUAUCCAGUGCUAUGAGGACAGCAGAUCUACUCUUGUGACUCAGUAUACUAAAGUCUUUCUGAGUGUAACUAUGGUUAUCUUAGUCUUUCAUGAACACUCAGUCCUGCCUAGAGUCACUUACAAAGAACUACCUUUUCUUAUGAAUUUUAUCAUUAGGAUAUAUCCUGUUUGCUUUCCUUGAAGAUGAUAUUGUUUGUAACUCUGAGAAAUUCUUUGCUGUACUCCUGGAGACUCUCUUGUGUUUCCAUACCCUUCCUAUGGUCUUUGUAUGAGACCACACACACACACACACACACACACACACACACACACACACACACACAUGUUUGUGUGUUUAUGUGUGCGUUUAUGUGUCUGUGUGUGUGUCAGUGUGUGUCUGUGUGUAUCUGUGUAUGCCCCAGUCCCUAUCAUCUGAAAAUAAGAAAUCUUCUUGUUAGCAGAUAAAGUAUCAGUUCAUUUUGUAAUCCACACAUUCAAGGCAUUGCCUGGAUAUAAACAAAUUUUGACUCACAAAUAAAUGGUUAUCAUCUAAGAAAGUGUUGGUCUAAGGCAUCUUAUGAUUGAAAUGAUAUUGCAACCAAAAAUAUUGCAUGUUUCUAAACAAGGUCAGUUUUUAAAAUGCCUAAGUGUGUACCCAGUAAAUCAACAGGCCAUAUCAUGUAUUCUGAUUAGACACAAAAUUUCUUACAGGAAAAUAUAGAAUAAUAAAAGCAUACCAUGGUAGUUCACUGGAUGAUACCAAAACAGGUUCCAGAAUUGAAACUCAUGCCGCCUAUUUUCUUGUCUUGAUUGCACUGCCCAUGUGGCCCUGAGGACCUCAGUAUUAUGAGAAAGCAGAAUCACAGAUUCUGGCCUGCUCCAAAUCUGUGCAGGUCUAUGAAUUGCUGGUAAAAAAAAUAUCUUACGGCUCAGUGGACAUUUUCUUGAUUUACUAUAUCUUUAUAACUUGAGUCUUAGAGUUUACAGCAGGUCUUAAAAUACUAUUUCAAGACAUACUGUGACACUAGAGUACAUGGCCUUUAGGGAUUCAAACUGAAGUCAACCCAUUGGCCUUUAUUGGUACUUAGUAUGAGCACUAUAUUGUCUUAAACAUAGUGAACAUUGCAAAAAUAAAAUGAAGUCUAAUCAUAAGUGCUCUAAAAUCUAAUUGGAGAAGUAAUAAAGACAAAAACAAAAAGAACCUGAUGGGAUAAAAGGAAAAAGUUCUAGGACAUUGCCCAUGAUUGAUGGUUAUAAAACACCCUGCAACCUAUGUGAUGUUGGGACAUUGAGAAUGGUGGGACAGUGAUGUCAUGAAUUUACUUGGGGCACUUAAGACCUGCAGGAGUGUGGGAGAAGUUUCCAGCCAAUCUUGGACCUUCACACGUGCGCGGCACAUUGAAGGGGCAGAGAAAGGCAGAAUCAGAUCACAGUAUGGAUGGAGCUCUUCCCAAAAUGAGAAUCUGUUUAAGAAAAUGGUGACAGAAGCAGGGAUUAGUCUUAUAGACAUCUGGGAACUCUAUGGCAUAGAGGUGACGUUACAAAGUUAGAACAGAGCACCACUUAGCAACGAGACCUCUCCUUCCAAAGUAAUGGGCUAAAGGAGUCUUAAGGUCAGAAUGGCAGGUUUGUCCCACCCGGAGUAUGGGAACUGAUGAAUCAGAUUAUGCUCUCAUUGAAGUAAUAUGAGUCAGACUUGCAUUUUUAUUAUCUAGCUGAUGCAUUGUCACUCUUGUUUAUGCCCGCACUUUCUGCUUGUGCCCAUCCCUGCAAAUCAAUAAGCAAAGAGCUUUACCUGUGGUACAGCUAUCCUACCUAAAAGCAGCAAACUUCCACAUGAAUGCUACCACACUAUGCCUUGUUUCUUUCGCUGGUUUUCUACGUUCACACCAAGGACAUUUCUUGUCUGCUUUCUUUGUUCUGGAAGACCUUUCACUCUGCAAACAAUACCUCAUCCCAGGAAGAGGAUUACACGGGUGGAUGUGUUUUGUUUCUGUGUAGCCCAAAUUUUAGGCUUUUAUCUGAAAAACUGAAAGGAAAGAGGACAUUCAUCUCCUCUAUCUAGAACUAUAGUGAUGUUUUAACCCACUGAAAUUUAGAUUUAUCUAAAUUAGAUUCAGUUAAAUCCUCUCCUCUGUCAUCCGUGUUAGAAAACACGCAGGCUUGCUUCCUAGUUGAUGAAAGAGCUGAGAUUUGAAGUGUGGUUCUUUAUUGCCCCAGCUUCCAUUCCCACCUCCUCCAAACAGUCCACCCCACCUCACUCUGACAUGCUCACCCAUCCUUGACAGGGAGGUGGCCCAACCUCAAUACAGCAAGCAUGGAGGGAAAGAUGGGAAGCUUAGAGCUAAUAUUAAUGAGCUGCUUCCCUGGGACACCAUGUAGGUUUAGCAGCGAUUUUCCUCAAAUGGGGUAUGAUCGAGAAUUUGUAGAAGUUUAUUCUUAGCUCUUCCCUUGGCUUCUGCAACAUGUUAACAGCUUGUGCAUUUUGUAAUGCCUUUUUCUCAUUGCCAUGGUAACCAUUAAAACUUAAGGUAUAUGUGACUGGAGAUCUGGCCCAGACAUUGGUUACUGGCAUACUGGAAGGCAGUACAAAUGGAACUACACCUGGCAGGUUCUUAUUGCAGGCGUGUCUAGCUGAGAGGGAAUAUACAAAAUCUUUAAAUAGGAAAAUAUUACCCAACAGUUAUUCAUUUCAGAAAGACAAAGCAGUGGCGUCUUUUUAUUGAGUAAAUUCUUUAACUGGCUUCACCCUGGAUUAUUUCAUAAUUUGAAGGAAUGUUCUUGGAACCUCAGCCCUGAGUUAUUGGACUAGAGAAAAGGGUUACAUAAUUACUUAUAGAUCUAGAUGCUACCUAGACCUCUCCAUAUUUUUAUUUGUUUGUUUAUGUUGAAUAGCGAAUGGCUGGCUAUAUCAAGAUGGCAUAGUAAGUGAUUAACUCUUAACAAAUUCAGUUGAAGUUAAGCAAAUCCAGUUACAUAUGAUAACCCUAAGAUUACACAAACAAGCUGCAGAGCCCGGCAGGAAGAGCAGACGAACAGGAGCAUACAAACUGCAGUUCUGCGAAGGUUGGUGGCUGUUCAUCGGAGCUUGUUUCUAGUCCAUUUCCCUUUUACUGUUUCAGGACGUCUUGUUCUUUUCAGCAUCAACAUUGUGCUGCAGGAGGAGUUUGUGUGCAGUUUGUAGGAGGAGUUUAAAUCCAUGAAGUGAAAUUCAGAUGUUAAUGUAUGUCUUGAAAGAGCAUGUGAAAAAUUAAUUAGGAAUAAAGUAGUGAAAAGAUGAACAAUUCUUGUGUUAGAAAGGUGACUCGUGAACUUGAUUGUCAGGAGGUUCUGAGGGUCCUGUUUGCAUUAUCUGCUGCAAGUCCGGAAGAGAAUCAGCUGAUUGCACUGUCGCCAGGAACAAUGUUUCUCAACAUGCUACUUUUUUGUAUGGUUCACAGGAAUAACUAAUGUGAUUAUUCAGUGUAGGGCAGUGUGUAUAUUUGAUGGAGAAACUCUGAAGCCCUAGCUGAAGAUGAUAUUUUGUUGAAAAUAUUGAAAUUCCUUAGAAGUAUGCAAAUCUUUCCUGGUUCAUAUGUAAGUGACAGCCACUCCCAGUCUAAGGUGAGGAUAACGGAUUUGCACUGAGCUCCUGACAGGGUUUGAUUCAAUGAAAUAUUUAAAACGGGGAAAAAAUAGGCUCCAAAAUACAGGAGUAUGAUGGAAAGCAUACAAACCACAGAAUCCUGUCUCAUAAUGAAGGAUUUCAGGCACAGUGUUUCUUCCCCUCCUGGCCCUUUAUGGUACAGUUGUUAAAUCCAGAGUCCUGGCUCUAAGACAAAACAACGGACACACUCAUUAUCCCUCUGGGGACACUGUAUGUGGAUGAGACACCUCUUCCACUGUUGCCUUUCCCAGAGAUGGCCUCCCAGUGUGGUCAGUGGGUUUCCUUCUCAGGAGCUGGCAGGUGUUUCCUUAAUCAGGACUCGUACUCACGUGAGACACGAAGCACAGCAUUUUGUGAGAUUCUGCCUUGAUUCUGAAACUGGCAGAGCCACCCUUUUCUUGACAAUUGUAUUAGAACAAGAGUGAUUUUAGCAGUGUCCAAGUUUCCCUAACUGACCAGGCAAAUACCCAGCGUGGCAGACCAUUGAACUUAGCCAUAAAACAGAAAAUGUCUACUCACCAAUGUGUAGUUAGUUAAGGGAACUCUGAUGACGUAGAUCUGGAAGAAGCAAAGCCAGUAUUAUAGAGUUGAAAGGGCAUGGAGCAGCUGACCAUAGGUGCAGUUCUGACAUGCUUUUUUGGUGAAUGGACCUGUCAAUCAUCCUGACUACUACAAACACCAGGACACAAGGAUGUAGUCACAUAGCAUAUUCCUAGACACAUAUAGCACACAAUUACACCACACACACACACACACACACACACACACACACACACAAAUCAUACACAGUGUACAGAAUGAUACACUAAACACAGUCCACAUACUUAGAUAUAUAACUACACAUGCACAAAUCUUGGCAUAUAUGGUUACAAAAACACACACCUAUAUUACAUGUACACCACAUCCACUUAGAGACACACUCCCCACACAGCAUAAACAUAAACUCACAGAUACAGCAUACUCAUAGACACAAAAAACACAGCAAAUGUCUAGACACACAGCAUAAAACUAUACAUAUAUUAAACAUACAUCACACACCUAGGAACACUCUAUGCACACAACACAAGUGUAGACAUGUAGUGUAAACUCACAGUAUCUAACAAGAGAGAUACUACACACACAUACCACAUAAUUACACACAUGCAUAUUAUACACAACAUAUGUAAGUCAUUCCUUAGAGACACACCAUGCAUCUAAAUAUACACACUACAUCACACAUACACGUAGAUAUACAUAUUACACUACACAUACAGCACAUACCAUAUACAAAGAGCACAUACUUAGAUACCCAUGGUACUACAUACAAUCACUGCACACCUAGAAACUCACCAGUUCACUACACACACAGAGUAGAUACUUAGAUACAUAUAUACCAUAUUAUACAAACAUACAUGUGCAAGCACACAACACACACCUAGAUUCACAUAUGACAUGCUAUACAUAGAAAACCACAUUCACUUGGCACACAUAUAAAAUACACACAAUCCACAAUACAACAUCGAGGCUAUAUAUUUCAAUACAUACUCUACACAACACUACAUAAAACACACAUCCCAACAUACACAUUUACAUCACAUUUCUCCCAUGCAUACAUACAUUUCACUCCACCUACACCACACAUACCAUUCACCUAAAUGAAUAAGAAAAAUCAGACACACAGACACAUACACACACACACACACACACACACACACAUACACACACACACACACACACACACACACACACACACACUGUAAUGGCCUUCACAUGAUGCACACCCUUCUUUUGAUUUAUUUAUUUAUUAUUUAUUUUUUCUCUCUCUGCAGCAUGAAGAUCCACUAGUUUCUCUUCUCAAUUCAGUGUUAUUUUCAUGAUGUCACCUAUUGUGGUUUGCCCUGGAGUUAUCUGCAUUUUGAUGCUAAUUCCACUGCCCCAAGGACUGCUGCCUAGUCUCAUACUCAGGAAUCAGAUUUAAGUGUAAUUGAGUGUGGGGCAGCUGGUCUGGGCCGCCACGGAGUUGAGAUGUGUUUCCGCCAAGAUAUCUAGCAGAUAUUUUGGGGCACUGUGGUGCCCAACCUAGCAAGGGAAGGGGCUGUUUGCCUCCAGUAUCCAGAAUGAAAGCUUUCAACUGCAGCCUGCUACAAAUUCCACCCUCACAGUCAAGCAGCAAUUAGAACUGUUUGUAACAGUGACAGCCAGAGAAGCCUUUCAAGCAACAAGGCAGAAGCCUGGGGAGUCAGAACAAGAGCUGGUUCAUUUGAAGGGGACUAUCGCCACACAGCAGCUGAUCCUGGGAUAGCAGGCAAUUUGGGGAGCAUGGCUGCUUGGAACUUUGGAGAAAGGCCUAAUCUUGAUUUUGCUGGAAGGAAAGAAAAUAGGAAGCCAUGUUUGGGAUAUUUAAAAAGAGACUAUCCACUCAAUAUAUGAAGAUUCUGGUAUGAAAUACAGAGGAAUAAAUUGGGAGCAUCACUUGCUAAUGUUGGAUUUGACACAGAGUUGCAGGGACCAGAAAACAUCUUAGAAUAAUAACCGUGAAAUAGAGUCCUGUUUACAUAUCGGGGGAGCAUAUUUAAAAUAAUAUUUUUGGCAUCUUUGUCUGUAAUACAGUCUUUUGAUAUUGGUAAAUUAUAUUGAGUUCAAUUAAUAUCUUGGUUGGAAAUGUUAUGUUCGGUAUGACAAUUUUCUCCCAGUUCUUUCUGUUUCUUGUUUUUCUUUCUUUCUAUUCUUCUAGUAUACACUUUUCAAAAUUAUAAUUGGAUUUUGUUCUUGAUUUAAGCAAUUAAAAAGAAAAAAGUGUCACUCCUGACAAGUAAGUUGUUUUUGGAGGCUAUCUGUUCUUCUCAAAUACACCAAGAAUCUCACUCCUUUCCCCAAAAGGCACUGAGCAGCUGUAAAAUACUGCAGGGGUUUUGAUGUUCUUAAAGAGAAGUAAUUUUCCUCCUUUGUUCCAGAGUAAUUAUUAAGUUGAGAUUCAAUAAAUAGCAAAGUACAGAUAGGUCUUAGGCAUUGCAUUGAAUAAACAUUUUGCUAAUUUUUUUGUGUUCACAUAUUUGAAUAUAUUACAAAUUUUAUUCUCUAAUAAAAAGAGUCAGGUUACCAAGCAGAACUGUGAACAAGCAUCUCUCAGAGGAAGCUGACUUAAGGCUGGCUGGUUUGCACAGGUUGUUAGGCUUGUUUCUGUUCAGCCUCCAGUGUGUUCUCGGUAGCAAAUAUUUCAAAUGCAAAAACCAAAAUCAAACAAACAAACAAAAACAUUGACACUUUUCCUCUUUGUUUUGUUGUAGAUGUCCCUCCCCCCAUUUAUUUUGCAAGUACACAACCCCUCUACCGCAAUUCUUUCUCAUGUCAGAGAUGAGGCCACACUUGACUGGAUACAUGGAAGAUCAAUUUGUUACAUCAUACUUCAACAUUCAAUGUAGCUUAAAAGAUAACUGUUAGUCCAUGUACUCACAGCUCUUAGGAAGUAUUCCAGCUUGCAGAACUAAGAGUGUGGCUAUUGGUGACAUGUAACCAAAACCAAAGCUAACCAAAAUGUUCAGGCUGAGAAAUGUAUAGCUCCAAGGAAGAAAGAUGGGGAGGAGGAAGAACAAAAGACAGAAAAGGAAAACACACACAGACAGAGCUUUGCCACUCCAAAUACCAAGGUUGAUAAUUUACAAAUAGAGUAUUACAUGUAAAUUACUUUUCAUUAUUCUUAUUCAUAUUUAAAAUGUUCCACAACCCCCCUUUUCCUCAGAUAGCUUCAUGAACCCUGCUUUGAAAGAAGGGCAUCAGAGUAAGUGGCUCCUGCUUUCUAUUUUGAGGGAUGCUUGCUUACCAACAGCCUAUUCGGAGAGGAAGCCAUAGGAGAGGCUGCAUGACCAGCCCAGUGACUAAGUCUUUUCACAUUCCUUUAGAAUCAAGCUGCCUGUCCUCUCCCAUUAAAAUCUAUAAGGUUCUUUUAAACAAAAAUAAACAUGCAAUCUUUGCAGCUUCAUAAAUUGAGAGGAGUCCAGACAUUAUUAAGCUGAUCCUAUGGUAAGUCAAUUCUGUGAAAAUAUGCACUCACAUUGGCUCCUUAGAUGGAGAAGAGAAGAUACUUGGAUGUUAAAUGUAGCUGUUGCCUAGUAAUAUGAUCUUCUUUGGAGACAUUACUGGAUUUAUGGUCUAUCUACCCCAAAGCAGUGUGGCUAUGACCUCCUAUGACAAAACACACAUGCCAAAGAGUCUUGACAUUUCUGGUUAAUAGAAGUGUUUUAUAGCAGACCGGAAGCAAAGAAUCCUGGGAAGAACAAGGGUAUAAUUCCAGAAAGUUAGGGCAUAUGAACCUGCUUUAUCAAUAUGUCACACUGAGACCUCGGAUUCUUUGCAUCCCUCAUGAAACUGUGAUUUGCAGUUAGGACAAGGGACAGAGUUCUGUUUAUAGUGAGGAUUUGUAGGAUGACAUUGUCAGCACCACAGGUUGCUACUUAAUGUAAGCAUUUGUAAUAUCUCUUCAGACAAUAUGCAAAUACCCUUAGCAAUUCUCUGCUCUUUUAGGUCACCUAUCAUGUACAGGGUUGUGACACAUAGCCAUAGUAUGGAAUGUUGAGCACAAGAGUCUUCUUAUAUCCCAAGCCUUUGGAUCCCUUGGCCUCCAGCAGUGGAAGGAUCUUUUAUCACCAUUGGAUCCUGUCCUGGAUACUGUCACCUCACUCAUGCUAGCUUUUCAUGAGAGAAUUCAAAUCAGCCUGGAUCCUGUGUGUCACUGUUCAUGAAUAAGCAACACAAAAUGAAAAUCUUAACUACUGUAGAACCAAGAAGAAUGAAGAAAACCUACAUGCCAAAAACUGCAUUGAAGAGUACUAGCCAGGUAUAUAUUUCACAUCUGAAAUCCAGGACUUUGGAAUGCAAAUCAGCAUGGGUGACACAGGAAUACCUAAGCUUCACAAACCAAAGUUGAGGCAGGAGCCCACAAAGAGUACUGACAUGGAUGCCUGUAAUCUAUAAGGUCAUAGUCUCAUCAGAGCCUAUAAUCCCAUAACCAGAGUAAGCAAAGACAUAAAACAAAACAAACAAGCAAAAUAACACUGACUGGAAAGAGAAAACCUCAGUCAAGACAGAAAAAUCCCACAAGUAAAUUAAAUAAAAUUAAAUUAAAAAUUACAAAAUGACACGAUUGCUUCUAUGAACGUUGGGGAGAAUGUUUAUUGCAGAUUUGAAGUAGAGCACACCCAGAGGCAUCCGGCAGGGUCAGACUGAACUGUGCCACGAAGGCAAAAAACAGAAAAAGAGAAGAGGGGAAGCAGGAGCCAAGAGGACGCGAGUGAGGCAGGAGACCAAGAGACACAAAGUUUUCAAAAUGGCUGUGAUAUAUAGGCAAGAGAACAUGGUGGACAAGACCCAGGCCAGUCUCUAGGCUGGUGAAUUUAGGGUACUUGGUCUGAUGGAAAGUGCUGGGAGGAUCUACAGGUACUAAGUGAUGCUGGGAGAAAUGGCAGGAGCUAUAGGUACUGAGAAAUGCUGGGAGAGCUUGGCGGAGUCACAGGUAAUCCCUGUUCAACACAGGCUUGUCAGCUUAAUUGGCUUUAUAAAGCAUAAAAUAAUGUUGCACUUGUGGGCUGUUUUGGUAGUUAGAGUUCACAUCCAUAAACAUGUGCUCAUGUGCACACACAUGUAUACAUGUAUGCAUGACUGUGCUCCCAAAACACAUACUUAUUUUACCAGGUGUUGAUGAUGAGGAUCAAUAAAAUAUGAGUCAGUUGUUUUAGCAGAUUCCAUAUUACUCCUCUCCAGAUAAAGAAAAUGCGUCACAGAAGACAGCUAAGUGGAUCAAUAAUCACACAACUGCUCCUGAGUGAAAGGGCUUGUACUCAGUCUUUUGAUCCUAUAUUCUAUUUCUUCUAAUACAUCAGUCUGCCUUUGAUAUUAUCGUACCUGAUUAUCAGGGAUCUCGUUCAAA